GAUGAACGCUGGCGGCGUGCCUAAUACAUGCAAGUCGAACGCUGAAGGAAGGAGCUUGCUCUUUCCGGAUGAGUUGCGAACGGGUGAGUAACGCGUAGGUAACCUGCCUGGUAGCGGGGGAUAACUAUUGGAAACGAUAGCUAAUACCGCAUAACAGUAGAUAUUGCAUGAUAUCUGCUUGAAAGGGGCAAUUGCUCCACUACCAGAUGGACCUGCGUUGUAUUAGCUAGUUGGUGAGGUAACGGCUCACCAAGGCGACGAUACAUAGCCGACCUGAGAGGGUGAUCGGCCACACUGGGACUGAGACACGGCCCAGACUCCUACGGGAGGCAGCAGUAGGGAAUCUUCGGCAAUGGACGGAAGUCUGACCGAGCAACGCCGCGUGAGUGAAGAAGGGUUUCGGAUCGUAAAGCUCUGUUGUAAGAGAAGAACGAGUGUGAGAGUGGAAAGUUCACACUGUGACGGUAUCUUACCAGAAAGGGACGGCUAACUACGUG
rnacentral:rRNA from 1 species